rnacentral:rRNA from 1 species
UGGCGGACGGGUGAGUAACGCGUGGAAAACCUGCCGUAUACUGGGGGAUAACACUUAGAAAUAGGUGCUAAUACCGCAUAAGCGCACAGCUUCGCAUGAAGCGGUGUGAAAAACUCUGGUGGUAUACGAUGGUUCCGCGUCUGAUUAGCUAGUUGGUGGGGUAAUGGCCUACCAAGGCAACGAUCAGUAGCCGGCCUGAGAGGGUGAACGGCCACAUUGGGACUGAGACACGGCCCAAACCCCUACGGGAGGCAGCAG